GGACGAACGCUGGCGGCGUGCUUAACACAUGCAAGUCGAACGAUGAAGCUGGAGCUUGCUCCGGUGGAUUAGUGGCGAACGGGUGAGUAACACGUGAGAAAUCUGCCCUUGACUCUGGGAUAACUGCGGGAAACUGUAGCUAAUACCGGAUACUUUCCUUGGUGGGCAUCCACUGGGGAAGAAAGAAUUUCGGUCAAGGAUGAUCUCGCGGCCUAUCAGCUUGUUGGUGAGGUAAUGGCUCACCAAGGCGACGACGGGUAGCCGGCCUGAGAGGGUGACCGGCCACACUGGGACUGAGACACGGCCCAGACUCCUACGGGAGGCAGCAGUGGGGAAUAUUGCACAAUGGGCGCAAGCCUGAUGCAGCAACGCCGCGUGAGGGACGAAGGCCUUCGGGUUGUAAACCUCUUUUAGCAGGGAAGAAGCGAAAGUGACGGUACCUGCAGAAAAAGCACCGGCUAACUACGUGCCAGCAGCCGCGGUAAUACGUAGGGUGCAAGCGUUGUCCGGAAUUAUUGGGCGUAAAGAGCUCGUAGGCGGUUUGUCACGUCUGCUGUGAAAUUUCGAGGCUCAACCUCGAACUUGCAGUGGGUACGGGCAGGCUAGAGUGCGGUAGGGGAGAUGGGAAUUCCCUGGUGUAGCGGUGGAAUGCGCAGAUAUCAGGAGGAACACCAAUGGCGAAGGCACAUCUCUGGGCCGUAACUGACGCUGAGGAGCGAAAGCGUGGGGAACAAACAGGAUUAGAUACCCUGGUAGUCCACGCCGUAAACGGUGGGUGCUAGCUGUGGGCCACAUUCCACGUGGUCCGUGACGAAGUUAACACAUUAAGCACCCCGCCUGGGGAGUACGGCCGCAAGGCUAAAACUCAAAGGAAUUGACGGGGGCCCGCACAAGCGGCGGAGCAUGCGGAUUAAUUCGAUGCAACGCGAAGAACCUUACCAAGGCUUGACAUAUAGAGGAAAAGUGCAGAAAUGUACUCCCCGCAAGGUCUCUAUACAGGUGGUGCAUGGUUGUCGUCAGCUCGUGUCGUGAGAUGUUGGGUUAAGUCCCGCAACGAGCGCAACCCUCGUCCUAUGUUGCCAGCACGUAAUGGUGGGAACUCAUGGGAUACUGCCGGGGUCAACUCGGAGGAAGGUGGGGAUGACGUCAAAUCAUCAUGCCCCUUAUGUCUUGGGCUUCACGCAUGCUACAAUGGCCGGUACAGAGGGCUGCAAUACCGUAAGGUGGAGCGAAUCCCAAAAAGCCGGUCUCAGUUCGGAUUGAGGUCUGCAACUCGACCUCAUGAAGUCGGAGUCGCUAGUAAUCGUAGAUCAGCAACGCUACGGUGAAUACGUUCCCGGGCCUUGUACACACCGCCCGUCAAGUCACGAAAGUCGGUAACACCCGAAGCCGGUGGCCUAACCGUAAGGAAGGAGCCGUCGAAGGUGGGAUUGGUGAUUGGGAC
rnacentral:rRNA from 1 species